AUUUAUUAUAGCCAUGAAAUGCUCUGCUCUCUUCUCUUUUCCUUGCUGUCCCUGGGGCUGGAGGAGCACGGGCCUCCCCGGGAGUGGGCUUCAGCCUCCCUAGACUCCUGUCUCCUUCCAAGGGCUAGGCCUGGGGGACCAGAAGCAAGAGUCCCUAGAGCGUCCAAGAUUUUUGGUUUCAAACCAAUUUCCUGCUGACCAGAAUGAAAUGGAGCCACAUUCCAGCACGAUGCACCUGCUGACCUCCUGCAAGUCAGGGACCUUCUCUGCCCCUCUUUUGCUCCGCUGCAGGAGGGAGAAGCUGGGAAUGUGUUCCUCUGGGGUCCCAUCACCUCCAGCCAGCCACUGUCCCUGUCUCCCCAAAAACCUCCUCGUUGUCCCUCCUCUGUCCUCCUCCUCCUCCAUCUGCCUUCGCCCUGCUCUCCUCUUUUUCGCCUGAGGUUCGUGCUGCCUCCUCACCUCUUGUCCUGUUUCUCCCUUCUCUCUGCUCCCUCCUUUGAUCUUGCUAUUUUGCUUCUCUUUCCCUUCCUCUCUUCUCCUCCCUCCCCUUCCUCCCUGCUCCCUGCCUCAGCUUCUCAGUCUCUCUCCGUUCUUCCUCUAGCUUCCUUCCCUCCCCAGAAGACCCAGCCCUUCCUAGAGCCCCAGAAGCCAGGGUUCAUGCCCCAGCUCUCUACCCGCACAUGCUGUGCAACCCUGGGCCAGUCACUGGUCUCUUGGGCCUCAGUUCAACAGAUGGCUGUCUUGGUGAUGUGAGAUCAUAGGGUGGAAGCACCCAGAAUGGUGCCAGGCACUCAAAAAUUUUUUUCUUUUCCUUUUUAAGGAACUACUAACCGUGAG
rnacentral:antisense_RNA from 1 species